CGUCACAUCACAAACAUUUCACAUCACGGAUGGACAUGACCACCAAAACUCCCUCUGUCUGUGCCCGGCCCUCGAAGGAGCUCCUCAGGACUUCUGUAACAUAUCAUAGUGCCCGACCCUUCGGGCUCCUCAGGACUUCAUUAACAUAUCAUAGCUAGGGCUAUUGGGGUCGCUUUGGUCCAUCCACAUCAACAGCAAAUUAUGCAAUGCA
rnacentral:lncRNA from 1 species